rnacentral:rRNA from 1 species
GCCUAUACAUGCAAGUCGAACGGUUGUCAGCAAUGGCAAUAGUGGCGCACGGGUGCGUAACGCGUAACCAACCUACCUGAAUCUGGGGGAUAGCCCGCCGAAAGGCGGAUUAAUACCGCAUAAAACUGCAGUUCGGCAUCGGAUAACAGUUAAAGAUUUAUUGGAUUCAGAUGGGGUUGCGUGCCAUUAGCUAGUUGGAGAGGUAACGGCUCACCAAGGCGACGAUGGCUAGGGGAGCUGAGAGGCUGGUCCCCCACACGGGCACUGAGAUACGGGCCCGACUCCUACGGGAGGCAGCAGUAGGGAAUAUUGGGCAAUGGUCGAGAGACUGACCCAGCCAUGCCGCGUGCAGGAUGAAGGCUUUCUGAGUCGUAAACUGCUUUUACCAGGGAAAAAAAAAGGGGAUGCGUCCUCUACUGACGGUACCUGGUGAAUAAGCACCGGCUAACUCCGUGCCAGCAGCCGCGGUAAUACGGAGGGUGCAAGCGUUGUCCGGAUUUAUUGGGUUUAAAGGGUGCGUAGGCGGCUGAUUAAGUCUGGGGUGAAAGCCCGUUGCUCAACAACGGAACUGCCCUGGAAACUGGUUAGCUUGAGUACAGACGAGGGUGGCGGAAUGGAUACUGUAGCGGUGAAAUGCAUAGAUAGUAUCCAGAACCCCGAUUGCGAAGGCAGCUGCCUAGACUGUAACUGACGCUGAGGCACGAAAGCGUGGGGAGCGAA